CCUACGGGGGGCAGCAGUAGGGAAUAUUGCUCAAUGGGGGAAACCCUGAAGCAGCAACGCCGCGUGGAGGAUGAAGGUUUUCGGAUUGUAAACUCCUUUUGUUAGAGAAGAGAAUGACGGUAUCUAAGGAAUAAGCACCGGGUAACGCCGGGCCAGCAGCCGCGGUAAUACGGAGGGGGCAAGCGUUACUCGGAAUCACUGGGCGUAAAGAGCGCGUAGGCGGGAUGGCAAGUCAGAUGUGAAAUCCUAUGGCUUAACCCUAGAACUGCAUUUGAAACUGUUAUUCUAGAGUAUGGGAGAGGUAGGUGGAAUUCUUGGUGUAGGGGUCAAAUCCGUAGAGAUCACGAGGAAUACUCAUUGCGAAGGCGACCUGCUAGAACAUACCUGACGCUGAUGCGCG
rnacentral:rRNA from 1 species